UACGUAGGGGGCAAGCGUUGUCCGGAUUUAUUGGGCGUAAAGAGCGUGUAGGCGGCCAAGCAGGUCCGCUGUGAGAACUCGAGGCUCAACCUCGAGACGUCGGUUGAAACCGUACGGCUAGAGUCCGGAAGAGGAGAGUGGAAUUCCCGGUGUAGCGGUGAAAUGCGCAGAUAUCGGGAAGAACACCCGUGGCGAAGGCGGCUCUCUGGGACGGUACUGACGCUGAGACGCGAAAGCGUGGGGAGCGAACAGG
rnacentral:rRNA from 1 species